UGAGCAACCUACCCUUCACUUCGGGAUAAGCCUCGGAAACGGGGUCUAAUACCGGAUAUCACUUCUGGUUUCAUGACCAGGGGUUGAAAGUUCUGGCGGUGGGGGAUGGGCUCGCGGCCUAUCAGCUUGUUGGUGAGGUAACGGCUCACCAAGGCAACGAUGCGUAGCCGACCUGAGAGGGUGAUCGGCCACAUUGGAACUGAGACACGGUCCAGACUCCUACGGGAGGCAG
rnacentral:rRNA from 1 species